rfam:Triticum aestivum genome assembly, contig: Triticum_aestivum_CS42_TGACv1_scaffold_549546_6DS
CAAAUACUCCCUCCGUCCGGAAAUACUUGUCAUCAAAAUGGAUAAAAGGAAAUGUAUCUAGACGUAUUUUAGUUUUAGAUACAUCUGUUCUUAUCCAUUUUGAUGACAAGUAUUUUCGGACGGAGGGAGUAGAAA